UACAGAGGGUGCGAGCGUUGUCCGGAAUCACUGGGCGUAAAGGGCUCGUAGGCGGUUUGUCGCGUCGGGAGUGAAAACCCAGGGCUUAACCCUGGGCUGGCUUCCGAUACGGGCAGACUAGAGGUAUGCAGGGGAGAACGGAAUUCCUGGUGUAGCGGUGAAAUGCGCAGAUAUCAGGAGGAACACCGGUGGCGAAGGCGGUUCUCUGGGCAUUACCUGACGCUGAGGCGCGAAAGCCAGGGGAGCAAACGGG
rnacentral:rRNA from 1 species